rnacentral:lncRNA from 1 species
CUGGCUCUAGGGACCCCCAUCGCAGGGGGUGGAGGCACCCCACGCGAUGCGGGGACUGAGAGCCAGCCCCUCUCCGCCCCCCCCGACCCCGCCCGGGUCUUCGGACCCCCAUCGCAGUGGGGGGAGGCACCCCAUGCGAGGCGGGGUCUGACAGCCAAACCCUCUUCCCCCUCUGGCUCUUAUGACCCCCAUAGCAAGGGGGGAGGCACCCCCCGCGAGGCGGGGACUAGAGCCAGCCCCUCUUCCCACCCUGGCUUAGGACCCCCAUCGCGGAUCCUAAGAUCCUUAGGACCCAACUGGAGGACUGUGGGUAUUAGGUGCCCAAGAAGAAAGCUCAGAUCUGCCGACGUUACUUGGGAUUUACUAUCCGACAGGUGUCCGAACACAGCUCGAGAUCAGAAAGAAAGCAGGGGUCCGAACGCAGCCCGGGAUCAGGAAGAAAGCAGGUCGUUUGCAAUCUACCGGAGCCUAAGGGCAGAAGGCAGGGGUCCGAAUGCAGCCCGGGAUCACAAAGAAAGCAGGUCGUUUGCAAUCUACCAGAGCCUAAGGGCAGAAGGCAGGAUCGUGGGAACAAUAUCCCAUGGGGGUGUACCCUUUCUGCCAUAUAUGUAGUCACAUCACCCACUCCGCCUUGGAAUAUUAUUAAGGACCAUCUAACACGAGGGUGUAUACGUCCUGUGAUAUUGGGAGUAAUAUCAACUUCUCGGCCUCUGAAUAUGAGGAAGAAUAUCACAGGGUGGGUGUAUACCUCGUGCUCUAUUAUGCGGAGUCGUAUCUGUCUAUUAUGGGGAGUAAUAUCAUUCUCUCCCUUUCAGGAUAUUAAUAACAAUUUCACAGGCUGGGUGAACACAGCCGGCGAUGCUGAAAUUAUUAUCAUCCUCUCCCCCUCUUCCCCUCCUGGCUCUCAGUCCCCGCCUCACGGGUUAUGUAGCGGGUUAUGGCAAGAAGACAAACUGCAGUUUCCUGCACAGAACAGCACAAACAAUGAUCCAAGCUCAGUUACAACACAAUAUUGGUCAUCAUUUGACCAUGGACUUCAAUAUCAACCCUUAGAAACCUUCCUAAAACAGGUCAGCAAAACACCAAGAAGCAAUAUCCUGAAUGAUAGGAAAAUAUCCUUGCUUGUGCAAAUUGUUUCCACUUAAUUUUUUUCAACAAAUGUUAAUUAUAUUUUUACUUUCUAAAAAUUUUUAAUAAAAUAUAGCCUACUUGGUUAAA